AUUUUAAAGAAAAGGAAAAGUAGAAUCAACUAGGGUUGUGGAGGAGGGCAAAAUAUGUAACCAGUUCUGGGGUUAGUAUUUGGCCCUGGUUCUUUAUAAUCCCUCAGUUCAAUCAUCUCCCUCCAUCUAUCUGCAAAUUCCUGUUAGCCAAACA